CUUUUCAGGAAAAAAGUAGUGCAGGAGAGAAACUUUUAAAAUAACACUUUGACUUUUAUAUCAGCUGAUCUGGACAGUCCAUAUCUGCAGGCCCAUGACCUCAGCCGCGGGUUCAGUGCUGUAACGCGUUGCUUUAUCCAUCAUUCUCUGGCUGAUCGUUGGUGCUAGUGGCAUCCUUUCCACACAACUGGUAGGUGAGAUGAGGAGCGGAAAGGGUCAUUCCCUUCAAACAUUAGACUUAACUUGUGAAUGAAAGACAGCUUCCUCUUUGUCAUUACAGUAAGUCAUUACUUCAGUGCUCACACGCCAGCCAUUUGAUUUUCCACAAACAUGUACAGCACAGAUAGAACAUAAUGUAUUCCAUCUAUGUACCAUUCAAUGACAACCAUUAUUGUGUCCCAUUUUUUUUAUUUAUGUCAUUUAGUUAUUUUUUUCACUGCAUUGUAAGGAUUUUCAUGCAUGUAGCCUAUUUUGCUGUAAGUCAACCAUUCACUCAGGUCAUUUGGGUGCCUGAAGUUAAUGUAUGGAUUUCCCUGGGGUGAAAUCACAGCUAAACACAUGGCCAUGACGGAUAGGAAUAUAGAGAUGUUCCAUCUUCUCUGGAGAAAUAAAUGACCUCCAACUGGGGUCAAAGACAAGACCUCAGUUUACAGAAAACCUUUAUUUCUUCAUCCAGCAUGCAGUGUGUGUUCAUACCAUAUUUAACCAGUGCAUAUUGGAAUCCUAUUUUUCCCUUUAUUAAAAAACGGGUACGGUUGCAAGGAAUGCUUCUAGUAUAGUUAAUUUCAAGGAAAAUGUCUGAACCUUAAAAUGUUGCCCAGCAAAUUUUGAAACUGAAAAGAGUUUUAUUGCUUUAUCUGGUUGCAGAUGAGUGUGAAAUUACUUUAUACCGCAGGAAUGCAUUCAAAAGACUUAUUUGACAACACCACUCUUGAGGGCAGAGCUUAACAGAAAUAAAAAAAAAGAAAUACAAUAGAGCAUAAAAAAAGAUAAUAUUUAAAAAUGACCAUUUAAGGCUAAUGAGUUCUCUGCCUCAAAUCCAAUGGAGAAAAUAAAAUGCAUUUUUUAUAGUUAUCAGCAGUUAUGUAAAAACAACAACUGUAAAUAAAGUGUUUACCUAAUAUGUUACUUUACUUUUUUCUAUUAAUGUUAAAGGACAUAAGAAAACGAUAACCAAUGCUCAUGUAUGGAACUGGUCGACCUCCAGCCUCAUUUCGCCAAUACCAAACAAAAAGUGCUUUUAAAAGCCACAACAAGAUCAGGACGACAUAAAUGAAUGCAUAUCACAUCUGUGUUGCUUACCUGUUUUUAAAUGACAAUGUACAACAAACAAAAAACAUUUGGUUCUCAAAGCUCUUAGUGAUUGUAAUGAUUGUCCAAGUUGCACUUCAAGUGCUAACUUCUGUCUAAAGUUUCCUCAAAGAAUCAGCAUUGGCCCUGACAGCAUGUAACAGUCUGACCUGCUGUACUUUCCAAAUAUCAAAAGACUCAUUUCAACACCAAUUCAUUCGCUUUCACACAUUAAUAUAACACAUUCCCUGGUACAAUAGGCCAACAUACAAACACACGCAGAUGGCAGGCGCUGGGACCAAUCCAAUGUCUGUGUGCGUAUUUGUAUAUGUGUGCGCGUGUGUGUGUUUGUGUGACUCUGGCUGUAGGAGGUUGACAGGCAGUGUGUCUGUGAUUGUAUGUCCAUUCCAAUUCUGCUCGCCCUGGUAGGAGGCUUUACAUGCACGGGACUGCAAACGAAAAUAUAUAUAUUGCAGUGUGGGACAUAACGAGUCCAUUUAUUGUGCUUGUUUGAACUUGGCAACACAUGCAAACAUGUGUAUUUAUGUGUUUGAGUGUAAGAACGUCAGUGUGCAGAGACCGACACAGAAACAGGCUUUACUCAGUUACUCGGCACUCCUGGCAUGCCAAUAAAGCUCUUGAAACGAUCCGAGUGAAUAAUAUCCAGCAUACUGGGGAGGCCUGCUCCGAUUCUCCAGCCAGCCCUCUCUGGUUUGAUAAGAUUGUGUUAGCCACCACCUCGCGCCGCCUCACACUUCAAACAGUUACAUAUUGCUCUGGAAAUUGUCGCGGGGAGCGCGUCGGCCAGAUAAAUUCAGUUCUGAUCUUACAUUUAGCUCAAUAUAUUUAUAGUACCGCCAGGAAGGGAGUGGGGAUGAAGGAGGGGAGGGGAUGAAAUAAGAGAGAUGGUGAGUGAGAUGUAUGAAGGAAAGUGGGGAGUAGGGUUUUCUCAUGAAAGCUCUCCACUCCUCCUGGUCACUGCAUCGAGUCAUAGCUGAGCAGGCGCUCACACAGAGUAAGAACACAGCAACAUGCAAAAAAAUAGAAUAAUGAAUUAAGAUCGCAUCUGAAGUAUUUAAACCUCAUGUGUUGUUUCCUCAGAUACAAAGCAUUUCUUUCUGCUCUCUCUGUCAUUUUGCAGAUUGAUGAAUGGCGAAUUGACUUGACUCGUAUAGCGCCUUUAGUCUUCCCACCACUCAGAGCUACACGACACUUCAUGUCAUCCACCUAUUCGCGCCGCUUACCUACCAACGUGUCGCCUGCUCAUCAGGACUAACUACUCCCACCCAGUCACACAGCGGCGGUACAGCAGCAGUGGAUCAAACCAGAGAAACGAGGGACAACCUGCUCUCUCUAAUGUCUGUCAAUGACGCUGCUCAACACGUCCCCCAACAGAGGGCCCUUUGCAUAGGAGAAGGUAAUGUUUCUCUUUUUAUUACCAGACUGCUCGCUUUGGUUGGUGGGACAAAAAGACCCAGAGGGGGAACCGAUGGACAUAUGUUCGUCUUGUUGAACCCAAGGGAAAAUCAAAUGUACUAUUGUGCAAAACAGUGUAUAAAUGCCUCUUAUUUUUUUAUAGAAGUUGGCUUUUUUUCAGUGCAAUAAUACAGCCUUAAACAAGUAUUUGUAAUACUUGCCUGCAUGCAUAGUGGAGUCCCUGAGAAUGAAGGCAAGUUGAGAGUCGGGAGGCAAUACAAUAUGCCCUGAUUUUGGAAGAAUAUACGCUCAUCUACAAUGGUUGUAAAUGAUGUUGUUAUGAAUGGAAUGUGGACGCCAGUGACGGCCCUGCAUAAACUCUAAUGCACAUUUAAGUAACACCAGGCGACAGCUUAGAGAGUCUGCUUCACAAGAAGGCUGUCGUUCUACUUAGCAGAGGAAUAUUGACUGAACAAUUGAACCCUCCAACAAUCAAUACGUUUCACUAGUAUACUAAAUAUAUUUUUUGAAAUGUAAGGUAGAUAACUGCAGAAUUAUAGUAUAUCUACAGAAAAAACCCCACAGUUUAGUUUCUUUAAGCUUGUAUCACUAUACAGUCCUAUUUUCAAAGGGCAGAGAUCCAUUCGAUCUGGUCUUUGAACAGCUGAAGGAAAACUAUCUCCAGCUUAACAAGGUCACAGUAUGAGCAAGAGAGGAAACCGGUUUCCAUUAUGAUAAAAAAAAGUCAUUGACAGCAUGUCACACAGCUGUGUGUGUAGGAGUUAGACACCUCAUCAGGUGGUUGUGGUGUUCUCACAGCCCGCCGCAUUGACAGCCCUGCUAACUUCCUGCCCCUGAGUAUUUUUAGUUUCUUCAUGUCAACUCCGCCACCCUGACGUUAUGCACACACAUCACAAUCUCUUCUGUUUAGACAAAACGUAAUUUCUAUCUGUCCAGGCCUCUCGUGCCCUAUUGUUUCUUUCUUUCGCAUUAUUUGCAUGACCCUUGAAAGCCCUAAACUCUUUCCUUCCUCCUCUUUCCCAGUAGAAGAUGCUGAUGACAUUUUUAUGAUCAUUAUUCUUCCACCUGCUGGCUGACUUCAGAGUAAUCAGCAAGGGGACGGUAGUUGCGUGUGAGUAUGUGCUGUAAGCGAGAAGUGAGCUAUGAUGUAGCUUUCCCCUUAUUCCGAGUUCAAAUCUAGCUUGUUGAGUUGCGUGUUGCUUUUAACUUUACUGUCGUCAUCUAUAUGUAGAGAAAGGCAUAUUAAACUGGGACUGUGGGACCGGGUAUGUGAAAUGCAGAUGCUGUCCUGGAUUUGUGAAUGGCAAACACGUCUUCAAGAUGUGCAGCUUUUUGACGGUGUUAUUGUAGUGCAUUUGCACUGGGAUCAAGAUUAGACAAUGUGUUCCACAGUGAAACACUUUCAUAAAAAAGUCAGAGGUCAGCAUCAGCCACAGAAAAACAUCCCUGAAAAAAACAACCUGUGUAUUUCUUUAAGUGUCCCCUAAUUUGGAGGAGUAACACAGCAGCUUGAAGAGCGUUGUUAUAAUGAGCCAAUUAUAACUGUUUUUAACUAAACCGAUGACGAACAAAAUGUGCAGGAACAACACUCACUUUACUCACAACAAAUGCUUUUGAAAAGCACUCAAGUUGAUAUUGUAACCUAAAUAUCUUUUGUCAAAGAGAAGACGCAACCAUUUAUAUUGACCCCAAAAAUAACGGCAGUGGCGUUAAAAAGCCGCUGAUGUGCCAUCAGUUGGAGCAUAAAGCAGAUACCGAUUCAUAUUAUGAUUAUACUUAGGUGAUAACUGAUGUCAUGAGCCACACCUGCUGAAAAGAAAGUGCUUGCAGACAGGGUCACAGAGAGAGAGGAAAGUAGACAGAUUUGCGCACAGCCGGUGACAGUUACCUCUGUGCACUGAAGCUGCGAACUGCUGUGAUGGAAUCCUAAACCUCUUCAGCAUCGGAUGCUUCUCCAGCAGGUCAUGUGACAGAUCAGGUCCAGAGAGAAGCCCACAGUGUAUAGGUCUAAUUGUGGAAUUAAUGAAAAAAGACACAGUGUCAUCAUCGCGGUGAGCUCAGUAGCUUGGUAGCGAGCGCCGUGUGUUCAGUAUGUCAGUGAAUAUAUACUAAACAUAACUGUUUUUCUUUUUCUUUCAACCGGUCAACUGACAGCAUAAAUUGGUCCAAAUUUAUAUAAUCAGUCAAUGAUUGAUGAAACAGUUAUUACCUAAUUAUCUAAUUUAUUUCUAGCUUCUUUUAAAUUACAUUAUUGUUGAACUUGUGUACACUAGAAAAUGGGUAACUGCCGUUAGCCCACGCAGUCAUGAAAUUGGCCUUGUUAGUGUGUUAAGUAGAGAGAUGGAUUAAACAUCCAGCCCUUAGUGAGCUCAUACUGCAACUAACACUGCAUCAACGGCACAGAUACUUGUAGGGUUACACAACCGGUAAAGCAUCAUCUGCCAGAUCGACAGAAUUAAAAAAUGGUGCGAAAAGACUUCGAUUCAUUUCCUCACUUUUGAUUGAUAUCUCUGAUGUAGUCAUGAGAAAUCCUUCUGACAAACACAAGAGUGAUAACAUACCUUCCUUACAAAAUAAAGAACACAAUCAUGUGUACAUUUUUAGAGAGAUGGAAGAUAUUAGUGCUUUCUGGAGAUGGAAUUGUAAAUAUUAAAUCUGACAUGGGAACUAGUUCAGUAUUAACAGCAUAGUCAUAAUGACAAUCGAAGGAAGAGCGUUAUAACAAUGACUAACGACUAACUAAAUUUACUGAUAUCUUUCUGUUUUUUUUAAAUUGUACAUAAUUGGGCCCCCGCCUCCACUUAGUGAUUUUAUUUACCAAAGCAGUCAAAGCAGCAGACUCAAUAGAUCUGCUUCAAGAGGUGAUUGUGUCAUUUCACGUAGGUCAAGCUUGUCUAGCAAGGCUACAUUCUCUGGGAAGGCAGCUCUGCCACCACACAUACGCAGACAACACACGCACAAAACCUUCAAGUAAAACCCUAAAACCAGGUGUGCGAGCUUUGGUGUGAUGUCUGUUGUGCCUGCUUGUUUCCCUUAUGUAUACAUUUGUCUUGUUCAGUGCUAUUUUCUUUCUGUGUUAUGUCCUUCCGUGGUAUUCACAGUACAUGUGCUUGUGCUGUAGGUGGGUUUGCUCUGCCGGACGCUUGCUGCAGCCCGUUAUGUCGGCUCGAGUCUACCGUCUUACACUUUUCUUUUCUUUUGCUGGGUGUUGCUUUUGUCUAUACGUUGUUGUCAUUUCGGCGAUGAAUUUUAAUUACAUUUCCCUUUUGAGAUUUUAUUAUUUUCAGGCUGCCUUAAAAACAUCUGGCCGGGGACAACAGAUGGAAAUUAGUCUCUCUGGCUCACAGUACAACUGUUGAUUGGUGUGCAUUGUCCCUGCCAAAUAAAUACAUACUAUGAGUUUGUUUUCAUACCAUCGCACGUUUUCUCUUUGGUGUCGUUCCGGUCACCAUUCAGUACGUGCAGUCUGCUUGGGAGUGAUAUAUAUUCAUGGAUGAGCCACAUAAUUGAUGUGUAAAUAUUAAAAAGAGAUGGACAGCGUGCAGUAUGAAAGGAUUUGAGGGGUGGUUAGAGGGAUUGAGAAAGACUUGCAGAGGUUGUUAAUCAGUUAGUGUCAGUAGGAGAUAUGGGGGCUGGGAAACAGGUGAUGUGUGCAUGUCAGGGAUCGCGUUUUUGAAUGUCAAUGAGUUGGAAAAGCAGAUGGGGAUGUUUUCGGGCCUGACUGCAUUAUGAUGGUGUAGCCUUCAACAAGGCUGUUCUGACUUUCCCUGUUUGGACGCUGAGGGAAUGUAAAAACAGACCUUUUCUGACCGCAGAACACUUUAAUUGCCUCUUGCUGACAGAGAAUUAUGAGAUCAGCAGACACUAUCCCAUCAAUGCAUCCAUCCGCCCAUCCAUCCAAUCAGAUUGCAGUUUAAGACUUUGUCAUUGUCCUCAUCUUCUGUUUUUUUACUCAUUCUGCGUAACUUUGAAUGGCUCCGCGCCAGUUUGUGAAUUCACCAGCCGACACAAAAGGGCUGUCGAAGUCUGGCACUGUCUUCACUCAGCAGUUUUCUUCCUCCACUGCUGUGACACAUGAAAGGCACUAAACAAAAUCGCUGUCUUUCACAUAAUGCAGCCGUGGCAGAUUUUCAAAUCAGCCUGGUUUGAAUGGGAGGGUACGAUUUUGUGUUACAAGACGCCUCGUCUGGGACUGAAAAUCCUUGGGUUGGAAAGGGCAGUCAGCUAGACUAACCUCUGCUUUGAUCGCAGCAGAGGUCCAUUCUGCAGCUGCUGCCUGUGUGCUGCUGCCCGUGACACAUUCCUCUGCUGCUACCACGGCCGAUGGGCAUUCUUUGGCUGCUGUUGGAGAGUCAAGUGUUUUGAAAUGUUCCCUUUUGAAAAGAAAUUAAACUUUUGAUGGUGAACAGGAAUUAGCCCUGCUCAAUAUAUUUAUUUUAUUUACUUUCUAAUUCCUUCCUUCGUUCUCAGUCUACACCAUCAUUCUCCCCACCUACUUCUCAUCCUACACCCUUUUCAUUCAGGAGGGAUUUAAUAAAAUAGCUCCAGGAUCACAAAUUGUAUGGAUAUGAGAUGCCGCCUUUAAUCAUACUGAUGUAAAAGAGAGCGGUGUCUAUCUACCUCUGUGUUAUCUAACACUAACCCACUCAGCAUGCUGAUAGCGUGCAAAAGGAUUUGAUUAAUAUCAGAAAUGACUCCAAUACACUAAGAAACCUGAUGUUGGAUUAUUGUAUGUAUGCAAAUGUAUAUUUGCAUACAUACAAUAAUCGAAUGCAGUAUGUAUCAAAUUUAUAUUUGCAUACAUACUGCAGGUCAUUCUAGAGAAUCGGGAGAGAAAAAGAUUGACGAUAAAAGUUGGGAAUAUGCUAUUCACCAACCUUUCCUUUUACUUUUCGAAUUAAAUGUAUUUCAUUGUUUCGGGAAAAUGGACAUAUUGAGAGGCAUGGUGGAUGGUUUCAUACAGCUCUCUUACAAGUAAUGCAACUCCAUUUACUUUGGGAUUCUGACAUUUUUUGAAGUGCGUGAAUCAUUACAAAAGAUUUGAUACUUUUCCAUAAAAAAAUACAAAAUAAUCAGAUGGAUGAGAUUAAAGCACAUAAUGCAAAAAAGAAUAUGUAGCAACAAUGGCGAAGGGAUAUUUUGUUCAAUAGCAAACCUUACAUUAUUGAUAAGGCAUCAUUAUGGCAGCUUAACAAUGCAGUGUCCAUAAAUGGGCGUGAGUCAUUACUGUCUCAGUGCUGACUCUCAUGAAAAGGACAUAAUACAUUUAAUCACUCUACAGUGCAGCUUACACCAUCAUAUAAACACUCUCACAGCCUAAAGCAGCUUCUGUGUAACCCCCCUGUGAGAAAACAAAUUAUAAAUCUGAGCGUAUCUGCUGCUAACAUCUAUAGCUGAGAUGAGAUUCCGAUAUCCAGUAGCAGUGAAGAGUUUGGACAAAUAUUCUUGUUCAAUCCAAUGAGAAAGUGACAGAGGUGCAAUAUCUCAUUUAUAGAGGCUGUAAACUGGGAAUGUCAGUGAAAGACAAGCACUUGCCUUGUAUAAGGAAUAAGUAUAUGGUAUAAGUGAAGAGCAAAUACGAUGUGAAAAAGACAGAAAGCGAUGCCUGAAUCACUCAGUCAUUCUUCCCUGUGAUUUCCCCUCUCUCUUUCUCCCUCUGUAUGCCUUCGGAGACGCUUUAGUCACCAUAAUCCACUGAGCGUUGCUUUAAUCACAUCUUCGUAGGUCUCCACUUUUUAAUUAAGGCCCGUGUUUCAGCUCAUUUCACUGCGCAUAUUUAGCGACCCGGUGGGACGCCGAGGCAUUCAUCAGACAGACAGUCUGACAGAACAGCAUCGGGCCGCUCCUGUGCACGCAUUUUAAAGACACUGAUUGGGUUUCGAACCAAGGGCAGAUGAAGGCGCUCACAUAGGACUAUAGACACAAAAAGAUGUAUUGCAUGAAACUAAAAUGCAUAUUGUUUUCUCACUCACGUUGAUUGCGGGACCAAAGGGCUCCUAGCACUCUUUGCUCUUUUUAGUGAGAAAAUUAAACAGGCUUUUCAAAUAACAUUCUGGAGUUACUUUGUUCCUGAUUUUAAAUUGUUUAUUAAGUGUGUUCUAAAUAAAAUGUUAUUACUUGAAUUACCGCCUGCAUUUCUGUGUAGUUUGCAUAUUUCAAUUUAAAAUUUAAUGAGCCAAGACUCGUCAACCUGCACACAGAGCAGUGACAUUAGAUGGUGCAGAAGCAAAGGGCAGGUUAAUGCACAAACACGCGGACCUCUGCAAGCAUUUGCAUCAGCACAAACAAUCUCAGGACGAUUUAUUUUUCUUAACUUAUAUUCAGAAUUGCAUGCUGCUUUAUUGCUCACUCUUCCCGUGUUUGUCUCUUUAUCUCCCUUUGUGUCACUCUCUCUCUCUCGCACACGUGCACACACACACACGCGCGCACACACACACACACACACACACACACAUUGUGAUCAUCACACCGUCUUCCAUUAACUUCGCAGCAAGCGGUUUUCCAUCUCCCUCAGAUUGCUCUUGUUUGUCAUCCUAAGCUCUGCCUUCAAUCAUGUUUGCCCACGCCUUUACAGCACAUUGCCCGUUUAAUUGGAUUGAGAACCACGUUUUAAAUAUGUAAGAGAACGAGCUGCAUAGUAAUCAGAAAUAUUCAAAUGAAGGACAGUGCUGUUAAUUGACAUUUCUGGAUGCGUCGGAAAGGACGGAGAGUUGCUUUUGUAUGGAGGGUUAACGAUGUCUGUUACAGAGCAAAAUAAGUGUAACAAAAAUGUCCCCUUCAUUUUCGAUAUAAUCCACCGUUGAACUUGUGUAGUGAUAUGUCUGUACAGUGUAUCAUCAAAAUAAAAGCAUUUUCACAUUGCUAAAUUAAAAGCAUUGUAGCACUGAUUAAAAAGGACAUUUUGUGUGGGGCAACAAUUUGGACACAUUUUGAUGGAGCUUCCUGCUCAGAAACACAGCUUACACUGCGCACCACGUGUGCCCAUUAACACGUUGUUAACCCUUUAAAAUGCAACAUGAGAUGAGAUCAAACGUUAUUGAUUGUGCAAAAUCCGCUCAACGCUGCAAUAACUAAGAUCAAAGACAUGAGUACAGGGAACAGACAUCAUAACAAACCGGUUCGAAAAAUGAGAAGUAAAAUAUCCAUAAAAAUAUAUAUAAAAAACCCCAAAAAGGUCAAUAUGUUAUUCAGACUAGAAGGCUUAUAUUUUACAAUACAUAAUUGUUGCUAAUAAAGUGAUAAUGCUGACUGUAUAUAUGGCUGAAAAGAGGGAAAUGUUUAAGCAACUGAAAACUUUCACAAUUUUCUAAAAUGACCUCAUUCGUUACAAAAACCCUGUUGAUCAGGAUGUAACGAUACACCAGACCUUCUCACUUGGCCCUGUCAGUUCCUUUGAAGUGUCUGAACAUUAAUUAUGGACUGUCUUAAUGAAGGCUGAAUAUUGACGUCUCUACAUCAGUGAAAUGCAGGGGUUUAAGGUCACUGGAGUCAAAGUUCACGCCAUAGUGAGAUGAGACGGGCCUCUGCUGAAUAAUGAAAGAGAACUGUCGCUGAAUUCACUAGAGGUGAACUAAAUAGUUCCCACUAAAUGCCCAAAGGGAAAUGGUCUGUAGCGAGGAAAACAGUCCCAUUAUGUGCUGAGGAAGUAUGUCGAAUGGAUGGAUGGAUAUAUUUGUGCGUGAAAGUCAUUUCUUUUCCGUGUUUUGUUUUUAAUAAAAAAUAUGGAUGCAAUCUUGUUCCACAUUAUUUCAAUUUUGCAGUAAAUCGACUGACAGCUACGAAGGAAGUACAUUUGCCUCGAGCCUACACAGAGUCGGGAUCACAAGCAUCCUUCCCAUGUCUUUUGAUUAUGAGGUAAGAUAAUGUUGGUUAGGUCAAGUUGUAACCGGACAACAUGCGUAGACUUUGAGGGACAGGUGUAUGCUCCAAUUAUACAAUAUCAAGUGCGCCUUUUGGUGUACUGAUUUAUCCACCGAGAGGUCUUUGUGCAUAGGGAGGACCCUGGAAUUUAUUAAUAGAGAUGGGAGACAGUUGAGUAAGGAAACCAGAGACAGAGAUGGAUAAAGGGUAAACUGCUGUGAGGAGCAGAGAUGGGAAGGGCUCAAACAGAAAGAGAAUGCACUCACCAUAAAGCAGUGACUUAUAACAAAGUGACAGAGUUCAAAGCAAGGACAAGUCCUCUAGUCUCCUCACUGCUCGCACACACACACACACAAUGGCUGACAGAGGAAAGGGUGAUUCCAUUUCUCUGAGCUGACAUAAAGAUCAGUGUUCUGCAGUUCAGGGGACCCUACUGAGCACGCUCGCUGUCGGCUCCGACACUUCCCAGCAUCUCUGCCUCAGGGACUAGAAGGCCAUGGAAAUGACAUAGGCCAAAAAAAUGGUAUGGAUGUGUGCUGCAACUUCCCCUUGUGUGGGUACCUGUGUGCAUGGGCGUGCACACUUUCAAACUCAAGCCUCUGCACGGCGUGCGCGGGUGCAUGUGUGUGUACGACACGGCCCGUGUGCCUCGUUGGCAAAUGCCAGCAAGGACCGAUGUGUCAGUGUAAUGUGCAAAUGCCAGUCAUGAUACGGGAGAAGGGCAAUUGCCACUACAGGGAUAUGGAGUUAGACAGCUUGUUAGACGUUUAGGGUUUCAUUAAUCCCAGAUCCUCGUCAGUUUGGAAAAACAGACUGGAAAAACAAAAAAAGGAAAUCAACCCGAAUGUGACUGUUGACUCUGAGUGGAACAGACCUGUUAGUUAAGCAGCAAGCACACUUAAUUGCGACGUUGUCCUUUCCGAGUGCCUUUGAACAGAACUCUCCUGUAGAUGAAAAAGCUAAAAAAAAAAAAAAAAGUAAAAAGUGUUUUUUAUUUAGAUCAAGCCAAGAGAUUUUCUUUUAUUUGCAGAUCAAAUUUCCACAGUUGGAAUUGUGACUCAACCUUUGAUUUUAUCUCACCGCCUGGAUAUGCAAAGCAAAGCUAUUUCCAAUGGGAGUUUUUCCUUAAGCUUGAUCUAAAAAGAGCAAACAUCUCCAGUCACUGCUUUA
ensembl:lncRNA